UCCCUCUCAGGGUCGCACCUGGAGAGUUUCUAGUACUCUACCAGUCUCGACUACGGGAGGGAGAGUCGAGUAGAGGCAUCCCCAUUCCAUUCCUAGCUUGGGCAGUGGCUAGUGAGUGUCAGACAAUCUGCUACAAGU